UGGGGAAUAUUGGACACUGGGCGAAAGCCUGAUCCAGCCAUGCCGCGUGUGUGAAGAAGGUCGUCGGAUUGUAAAGCACCUUAAGUGGGGAGGAAGGGCAGUAAGCGAAUACCUUGCUGGUUUGACGUUACCGACAGAAUAAGCACCGGCUAACUCUGUGUCAGCAGCCGCGGUAAUACAGAGGGUGCAAGCGUUAAUCGGAAUCACUGAGCGUAAAGCGCGAGUAGGUGGGUCGUUAAGUUGAAUUUGAAAGCCCCGGGCUCAACCUGGGAACUGCAUCCAAAACUGGCGAGCUAGAGUAGGGCAGAGGGUGGUUGAAUUACCUGUAUAGCAGUGAAAUUCAUCGAUAUAAGAAGGAACACCAGUAGCGACGUCGACCACCUGGUCUCAUACUUACACUGAGGUGCGAAGGCGUGGGGAGCAAACAGC
rnacentral:rRNA from 1 species